rnacentral:misc_RNA from 1 species
UUUUUUAGUCAAAGAAAUCGACCACAGGACUUAUUCUUUUAUCCAACAUAUGAUCAAAUCAAGUUAUCUAAAUGAAGUCAAGAAUUGGAUAGGUGGACCAGUUACCAAUAUUUCACCCUUCUGAUGUUUGCUGGGAUAAAAGAGAAUUUUGCCAUGUAUUGAAAUCAUCAUGUUUUCUGGCAAAUAUUUUUGUUUUAUUUUUCGCCAAAGGCGAAAACAUGACAAGAUCUUAUUUGUGUGCCUUUUUAUCACCAUUAUCCUAUUGGUUUCAAAACUAAUCACCCAGGAAAUCUUUAGCACCAACAAAAGACAGAUUUCAACUGAGAAUCAGAGCUGUAUUCAUCCCCAGCUUGAUCCAAAUAAUCCUCAAAUUACAAAGUUUUUUAAGAAACUUCCUGAAAUAAAAUGCAAUGAAGAUGAAAACUGGAUAUUUGUUAAAAAAGGUGUCUUACUAAAGUCACCAAAAAUGAAUUUGAAAUAUGGUAACUUUGUGUGUGAUUAUAUUCCAAUAAUACGUGGUGCUGAUGAUUUUGCAAUUAGUGAUGGACCUGUAAUUAAAAAUAUACAGAAUGGCACUUUAAUAUCUUCAGAUUUCUUUCGCAUAUCAUGUAAAAGUCAAAAUGGUCAUUAUUAUGACAAUGUUCACUGCGCAAUAGCUAAACAUGAACAGAACUUGAAGAGAUCAGAAAAAACUCAAGCUCCCAGAAAUAUGCUUAAAUUAAACGUUAUAAUGUUUGGAAUUGAUUCUGUCUCUCACAUGACCUGGUUACGCAUGUUACCAAAGUCACAUAAGUAUUUUACUGAACUUGGUGGACUGGUUCUGAAUGGAUAUAACAUUGUUGGUGAUGGCACCCCUCAAGCACUUCUUCCUAUUUUGACGGGGAAAACUGAAUGGGAGUUACCUGAAGCUCGUAGGAAUCAUAAAAAUGCUAGUGUUGUUGAUGGCCACCCAUGGAUUUGGAAAAAUUUCAGAGAUGCUGGUUAUGUCACACAGUAUGGAGAAGACAGCCCCAGCAUAGGAACUUUUACAUACCGUAUGUUGGGAUUUAAAAAUCAGCCUGUUGAUCAUUAUAUGCGAACAUUUCAAAUGGAGGCUGAAAGACACUAUUCCAAACACAAAGCUUACUGUUUAGGUUCUGAAAGGCGUUUUAGUAUUUUUUUUAACUGGAUCAAACAUUUAGUUGAGAUGUAUAACACCAAACCAAUAUUUUCCUUUUUGUUUUACUCAGAGUGUAGCCAUGGAGAUAACAAUCUGAUUCAACACAUUGACAAUGAUUUAUUUUCUUUCUUGACUUUCAUGAAAACAUCAGGUCAUCUAGAUAAUACUAUUUUAAUCCUGAUGGCUGAUCAUGGAGCUAGAUUUCAGAAUGUUAGGGAAACAGUUCAGGGAAAACUUGAAGAACGCAUGCCCUAUUUUAGUUUUCUUUUUCCACAAUGGUUUCCAACCAAAUAUCCUGAGGCCUACAAAAAUUUUAAAACAAACACACAUCGACUUACUACACCAUUUGAUAUUCAUGAAACAUUGAUGCAUCUCUUUGACUUCACUGAUUUUAAAAUUGGUUCUACAGCAUCUCGAGGAAUAAGUCUUUUUAAAGAAGUUCCAAAGAAACGCUCUUGUCUGGAUGCUGACAUUGAACCACAUUGGUGUGCCUGUCUUCACUGGAAACCUGUUUCCUUUGAUGAUGAGAGAAUUAAAAAAUCUGCAAUGGAAGCUGUACGGUUUAUAAAUUCAUUAACAAGUAAUUUUCGCUCAGAAUGCAGAGAAUUAAAACUUUUUGACAUUAAGCAGGCUUUCAGAUUUCAUGCCACUGAACAAUUGCUCAAAUUCAAAGGAAGUAGUGAUCAUGAUGGACGAUUUGCUGACCUUUCUGACAAAAUGAUUGAAAAGGAAUACCUUAUACAAGUAACAUUUCAUGUAACACCUGGUAAUGGCUUGUUUGAAGUCACCUUAAAACAUAAUGUAGCCUUGGAUACAUAUAUAGUGAAGACGGGUGAAAUAAGUCGAAUAAAUAAAUACGGCUCUGCACCCAACUGUAUCGCCAGCCGUUAUCCAAAUCUUCGUCAAUAUUGCUACUGUGUUAAACAAACUAAAUAACAUUUGGUGAUUAACACUAUGUAUUACCAAUUCCAUGUUAUGUUGAUGAUUAUAAUGUUUAAGAUGUCUGGAAAGAAGAUAUUAAGUAGAACUGAAGGCAACUGUGUGGAAAGAAACCAUAAAAAGAUUACACUGAAUAUCAAACUUGGCGUUUUAAAAUGACUUGAUGUGGAAGAAAACCUGAGUUAUAUUACUGAAACAUUAAAUGUUGCAACUUGUACUGUGGUAACAAGAUGUGACAGAGUACAGAGAGAAAAUUAUGUCAAGUGCUCCAGAAGCUACUCCGUUAACUGCCUCCACCAUAUUUCCCCAUAAAUCUAAUAUAAUGCUUAAAAUGGAACGAUUCAUGAGUACAUGGAUCAAGGAUGAGAAUUUGUGUAGUGUGCUGAUAAACAUGGUAGUUUGGAAAAAAAAAACACUCUAUGGCAAAAGAUUCCUGUACUUUACACAUUCCAUGGCACAAAGGAUUCCUGUAUUUUUUUCUCUCAGCACUACAGUGUAAUUAUAAUUGAUAUAGUAAACCAAACCAUUUAUAUUAAUUAUACUGGUACUCACUUCAUUAUAUAUACGAAGUGAGUAGGUCUCAGAUGGUGAGUAUGUUAAAAUGUUAUCUUGUAUCACAAAGUGAGUCCAGAUGCACCACAAAAUUAGAAAAUAUUCAAAUG